rnacentral:misc_RNA from 1 species
UUUCCGUAGGUGAACCUGCGGAAGGAUCAUUCAUAAUAAAGUGUUUUAUGGCACUUUUUAAAAGUCCAUAUCCACCUUGUGUGCAAUGUUAGAUCUCGACAAUCUUGGCGAGAUUUUUAUACAUCAACUCAUUCUUUAACUAAUUUGUCUGAAAAAUAUUAUGAAUACUUAAUUCAAAAUACAACUUUCAACAACGGAUCUCUUGGCUCUC